rnacentral:lncRNA from 1 species
UUUUUUUUUUUUUUGUUCAUUUUGGUAUGCCAAAGUGAAAUGUAAUAUAGCUCACCAACCUUGACACACUAAAGAAUGAUUGUUUGCCAUAUUUUGACCAAGUAUUGAAUUGUGGAUUGUGAUAUUAAUGGUUGAAAAUAUUUUUCAUUUUUAAAUUUUUGGUUGCAGUGUUUAAUGUAUUAUGGUGUAGAAAAUUCAUUCUAUAUGUAAAAUUUAAUUUAUAAGCAUACAAUAUUAUAUUAAUAAUAAAUGUGGAAAAUUUUAAAUUGUUUUUGUCAUGUUCUUUGUGUGGUUAGAAAUAUGUCAAUUAGAAAGUUCUGCGACGUUUAUGCUUGGACAAAAAAGAAACAAAUAUUAUUUAAAAACAAAUUUAGCCUGGGGAGAAAUUUUGUUUUGUCCACAAAGAUCUUUUCGUUGGCAAAACUAGCUUCCGCCCACGAAACAAACGUGGCCAGAAAGUUUAUUUUUGUCGACGUGAUGAUGAUCAUGGGUAAAAAAUACCUUUCGUUUUUUUGUGGUCAGAAGGUUUACUUUUGGCGACGUGAUGUAAUCGUGGGCAAAAAUACAUUUUUGUCGACAUUUUUUUCGUGGCUAGAAAUAUUUUUUCUGCCCACGAUUUUAAUUUGCAUGAACAUUUGUGCCGACGCAACGUAAAAAACGUAGGCAAAGUAAAAGACGACGGUGUUUCGGCCACCCAACGUGCCCACGAAGAAAAAGUGUUGGCAAAAGGUCUGGCCACGUUUUUCAUAAGAAGUGUCCAUGGUUUUCUGCGUGGGCAAAGACGAAAAUUCUUGUAGUGUCUUUUGUUGUAUGUUUUCUGUAGCCAUAAAAAAUAUUCGGGAAACCUUUUCUCCAAGAAGAAUCCGGUUGUAUGUGGGGUAUCCAAUUACCAUCUUAGUUUCCCUCUAAAUCCAAGUUUACUAAGUUAUCUUGAUGGGUAAAAUAAAUUAAAUGGGACCUUUGAGGAGGUUGUAAAGGAAGUGUCUUAUAGGAAUUCUUUUUCAUAAUGACUUGUUAAGAUAGCUAGUGCUUUUGAUGUUUAAAUAUUACCAAAGGUUCUAAAUUAUGUUAAUUUUGGGGAAGGAAAAACAAUAAAUUGAAGAAUUGAACCCUCGUUGAAGCCAUUUUUAUGGGUUCUCCAUAUACAUUAAUGAGCUAUGUUUGGGUAGAUUUUUCUUAUGGUUGUUGAAUUAAGUUUUGACACUGAAAGUUUUUUUUUUAGGCUUUCUGAAAGUUGAUGUCUGUUCAAGGAAGGGAAUUUUUGGAUUGAGAAAUUAUAGGAUUCAAACUAAGUGUUAAAUAUGAUUUGAUUUAGGCUAUCUCCAUAUUCUAGCUUUUCUGUUUUAGGGAUUGUAUAGUAUGUUUUUUACCCAAAUUUGGAAUUAACGGUAUCUAUCCUUAUCGAGGCUUAUUUGUGUGAAGACACAUUUUUUGUUGUUCAAAAUUCUCUAGAAUGAAAAGAUUCAUUGUGUGUUACACUCACAUGACCUCACACUUUAAUAAUUUGAUAGUUGUUAACCGACCGUUAUGUUGUUCUACCUAGUUUCUUCUUAUGGUAAUCGAUAUUUCUGAUAUUUUUGGUCGACUGUGGAUCAACAUUUAUGGCUGAAGUAAAUGAUUGGCGUGACUCGACGGAUAACCAUAUAUGUUGGGCUACUUCAACUACCAUCUUUCCUACUUUAUAUUUUUUGGAUUUUUGGACCGAGCAUUAGAAGAAAUCUGACCUUUAACGUCGGUUGAAAAAAAAUGAAAACGGAUCUUUAAUGUCAGUUUUUUAAAUGGGGAUGUUUAGUGUCGGUUUUCAACCGUCAUAAAAAAGUUAUGGUAAUUUUUUUUUUUUAAAUUUUGUAGAGUCAAGUAUCCCUCGUUUAGUCUCACAUUUCUUCCUCGCCUCACGAUUUCUUCUCUCUCAAUUUUCUCUCAGUUUCUCCUCACUCUUCUCAAUCUCACUUUACUCCACCGUCAAGUCCGCCACAGUGGUGCCGUCCCAAAUCUUCAAAAGAUAUGUCGUCCAUCGUCGCACUGUUCCAGAUCUUCGAAGAUCUGUCGAACGUCGUCCCAAAUAGAAACCCUAAGUAUUCUCCAUGAAAUUGAAUCCCUUGUUUGAAACUCACGUUCAUCGUGCGACAUCAUCUUCUCUUUUUUGUGAGCCUUGGUAUAUAGCUACAGAUUUUGUUUUUCUUCUUUCACAAUAGUUUCUAAAUUAUCAAAGUUUCAUUUAAGUGUUAAGAUAUCAAUUCGUAGGAACAAGAGCUUAACUUCAAUUUCAAACCAGAAUGGAGAUCCUCCACAUUCCAUGGUCAUCGUGGCUAAUAAUAAGAAGAUAAUGGACACGAAUCCUAGAACAAAUGGGGCAGUAUAUCAUCAAGAUUCAAAACCCUCGAGCAGUAAGUAAGAUUGCACUUUAUUUUCCUAUUUUAACAAAAAGCACAUAGGCAAAAGAAUCAAUAGUUGCAUUUGAAAAGAUAGAAUUAAUUAUAAUAUGUUUUCCAAGUGUACUUAUCAAAGUAAUCUCUUUCGUCUUUUCAAAUUUUCCUCUCCUUUUUCCUUCGUAUUCAUCCUCAAGGUUCCAUGCUUUUUCUCUUCGCUUAUCCUCCAAUCUCUCAUUUUUUUCUCUUUUUUUAUCAAUCUUUUCCCACUCUUUUUUCCUUUUUCCUUAAAUAUAUAUUAACAAAACUGGCCCUCAACGUUUUUAUCGUUCUUUUCUUUUUAAAUUCAUUAUCCUUCUUUUCUUUAAUUUAAGGUAUCUCAUCUUUUCUUCACCUUUUUUAUGGUUUCUUUUAUAAAAAGAAAAGAAUAAUAUUUAUGACCAUUUUUUUAUUUAUAUUUAUAAAAUUAAAUAAACAUGGAAGAUGGAGCUCAAUUGUUAGAGCACUCGCUUGGCCAGUUCGAUAGACACAGUUAGACAUAGUUAGACAUAGGGAUUGAUACCCAUUGGCAGCAUCUCCAUGGUCUUUUAAUCAAAUUCAAUAACACAUCUAUAUUUCUUUAUUUAUUAGAUUGUUGACUAGAAAAUAAGUUGGGGUUUUUUCCUCUUUUUAAAAAGUUAUCUUUCUUUUAAGAAUUCGAUUAAAAACUAUUUCGUAAAAAUAAUUGUAACAAAUGAGAUUUAGACUCACAACCAACACAAGACUUGUGCAAGGGGCACAACCACUUCAGCACAAGUAUAAUUUAGGCAAAGAAAAGCCGAAUUUAAUAUGUACUGUAAUCUAACACUUCAAAAAAUUGAUUCCAAACUAUCUCCAAAUCUAUCAACUUUGUACGGCUAAGCAAGAGAGAUACAAAAAGUAGAAGAUUCCAUUUUAUCAAAAUUAGACACCAUGGAAAUGAAUAUGUUGACUGUUAUAAACCACACACAACUAUAUAAAUACCAAACUCCUAACUCCUAAGUAUUCACGAACAAAACACAUAAACUUUACUACAUAAUAUAUCAUCUUCUAAAACUAUCUGUCCAUCAAAAGUAGAUUGUUGCAGUAUGAGUUUCGUAAUUAAGGGAUCACCCAUUCCAAACAUCGAUCAGCGAAAGGACGUGCAACAAAUUGGAGGGAUUGCAGUGGACAUACACAACGAAGAAAAAUCAGACACUUUGAUUUUCCAUCGUGUGAUAAACGGCCUGGAGCUUGUGAUUAAUGAUAUAAAUGGUAGCAUAUUGUCGUAUACUCUUGUGGUGGAAGCUAUAAAUAAGGAUAAAAAUAUCUGGACAUAUGUGACUUCCAUUAAAAUUACAAAACCAUCAAGCUAUGAACUCGUAUAUUUUAGAGAUCCCCUCGGGUACUACCCCGAAUAGUAUGAAAACAAUCCUUCUAUAUGUGUGUGUGUGUGAGAGGCAUUAUUGUCUUUUGCCUAUAUGAAAAUAAAUGGUAUAACCAUAUAAUAAGAACAAUGAUACUUACCUAUUAUCUCUCUUUCUAGUUUUUCUUUUUUAUCAAAUUUUGCAGUCAAGUAUUCAUGGUGCAUUUCAGAAAUUAUAAUUUGUUAUAUAAUCGUAACUUGUUUGUCUGUCUUAGUACUUCAAUAGGAAUUAAGGGAGAGUAACCAAUGGCAACCCAUAUCUAUGACCUCAUUCUUUUCAAAAUAUAAAACAAACCACAGUUAAUAUCGAUCAUUAAUGCACAACUUCUAGGUAUUUUCCAUUUGUGUUAGACAUCUCCUCCUUUCUCACCACUACCAGAAAAAGUGGCUUUCUUGACCUUUGUAGUUUUAAUUGCUUGACGUCUUUUGAAUAAAAACGUUAAGAAAUGGGUGAUUUCAAAGAAAAAACGUCAAGAAUUUCUAUGAAAAGACGGAGAUAUGCCAAUCUUCAACUUUCUUGACGUUUUUUAAACGUCGAGUAAUAUUUAUUUAUCCUUGACAUUUUAAAAACGUCAAGUUCUAUUAAAUAAAUAAUAAAAAACAAAAACGCGUCGUCUCCCUUCUUUAUCGAAUUAAUUGUUUUGGCCUAGAAAUCUUCUUCUUCAUAUUUCCAAAUUUCGCAUCUUCUUCUUCUUCACGACUGAGUAUUCGAAAUCUCCAUCUUCACAUUGUCGUCACGCAUGAGCUUCCGUAAUCUUCUUCUCCACAGUGUCGUUCGUCACGCCGUCGUCUCGUCACAAUUCUCCGUCUUCGAAAAGUAACCAUCGGUCCUUCACUUGAUCCUCUUGUCUUCAAAAAAUGCACACUCUGUCAUAUGAAAUUGGACAUCUGAAAUCGCCGUUCUUAACGUUGGGGAAGCCCUAUCCCACACCCGUUCUUGAAGAUAUUCGAAAUUUGUUUUCACACUCGUUCGAAAUCACCAUUCGAAAUCGCCACCGGGGAUUAAUUCCAUCUCUUCACACCUAUCUCUUCACACUCAAUCUCUUCCUUUUGAAACAUCCUUGAUGCUUUUGACCGCCGACUGAAGUCCUCCAAACAAACACAUUUUGUUCUCUGACCACAAAUUGAAUUAGGUGCGUUGUCCGGUUAAGUUGAUGCUUUAAAACCAUUUCUUUCUCCAAACGCUUCCUUUUUGUUUUCACAUGAUAAAGAACUGAUAAAUCAUUUUCUCUUUUGGUUUUGGGACGGGAUGAGUGUACUAUACAAAUAUUAACCUAGUUGAGAUGUGUUAGUGUGUGAAAUUUUUCAGAGAAAAAAAAAAAGAGACAUCUUCUCCAAAUUUUUAUCUCCCUCAACUAUCUUCCUUCAAUGUCUUUUAAAGAAAGAAAAAAACCAACACCAACAAACCUUCUAUCCCUUUUUUUUCUUCUUUUUCUUCCUUAAGCUUUUGGGUCUUUUCUUUAAUUAUGUAUACGUCUUUGUCUUUUUUCCUAUUUUUCACAGAGAAGAAAAAAUUUAAAGGAUUUUUUAAAAAAAUAAUAAUAGAAGAAAACAGGUGACGAGAAAAGAAUAAAAUUUUCUUUAUACAUUUUCUUUUCUUUCUCUAUCAUUUAAAAAAAGCAGAUCACUUGGAGUAAAUCUUUACUAAAUACAACUUCUAACUAAGUUUAUUUUAACGUGAGAUUUGAUUUGCUAAAGAAAAAAAAAAAGUAAAGACACAUGAUGAAAUGUAUAAGAAAAAAACUUUCUUUGAAUUGGCAGAGAUUAUCUAAAAAAAUUUUAUUCUACGAAACUUUAUUUCCCACUAUUUUCAAAUGAAAAGGGUCCCUACUUAUAAACCGGGGUAUACCACAAAUAGAAAAAAUGAAUAAGAAUAAAAACAAAAUUAGAUAUUAUGUGAAUAAAAUAAUUUUUCAUUUUCUUAAAAUAAAUUAAAUGAGAUAUUUUGAGAUUUUUGUGAAAAUAAAUUAAUAAAUACGUUACCUAAAUUUGUACAACAUAAAAGUUGAUUAUUAUUAGUUGUCCCACAUUUUAAUUCAAGAGACCCCUCUCAAUAUAUAUUUCAAUUAACCUAAGAUCAAAAGUAACGAGACUAAUUAAAUAUACAAAUUCUCGUUAAAUUAGUUUUUCUUCUAAUCUUCAGCCGACAACCGUGGUGGUUCGCUGUUAUUUUCAUCUUUCACAACUAGCAUCCUUUUGCUAAAUUACUGUUUUUCCUCACAUUUUCUUCAUUCUCUUCCAUCUUUCUCUCUUUUAUUUUCCCUUUGAUACACUUCAUACACACUUGCAAUCAAGAAAAAAUGAGUGGGGUUAGGUAAAAUGUGUCAUUGAAAAUAAAAAUACAGAUUUCCUUUUACACAAAUUAAGUUGUCUUGACACAAUCUUUGCGUUGUUAAUUAACGAUAUAUUUUUUGUGUUAUUAAUUUUUUUUUUAAUUCCCUCUCUCACGCAAUUAAAAUAAACCAUUGGUGCAUUUAUCCUUUUUCUCUUUACCAAAAACAUUCUCCAACUGUGUAACAUCUAUCUGAAACGCUAAAAAACCCUUAUCUUCCAUUUUUCUUCCAUCUACCGCCGCCGAGACAGUCCUCCAGCCACCGUCGUCGAAAUGCCAAACCAAGCCAACGUCGUCGAACCGAGAAAUUUAACCACUACAGUCGAAUAAUUUUUGUUUUAAAAGGAUACUCUAGCCACCUAAUUUUAUCCUACAUUUUUUUAUAUAUAUUUUUUAAAAUAAUGACUAAGAUUUUUUAUUUUUCCUUAUAAUAAUCAUUUUAUUAAAAAAUUUCUUUGACGACCAUAUUUAUCAUAAAAAAAUCAAUUUAUUUAAAACAAAUCUUUUAAUGUUAGAUUUACCUUAUUUGUACUAGGAAAAAGAUAUUUGUUUUUCCUUAUUGUUAGCCUCCAACUCUUUGAGCAACCGACUAAGGUAAUCCAUUGCAAGCAAGAAAAUAAAGGGGGAGAUUGGAUCACCUUGUCUAAUACCUCUAAUAGGUUGUAUUUUUCCCCUUUGGUCUUUCAUUAAUUAGUAUGGAGUAUUUUACACUGCUAAGACAGUUGCUUAUCCAAGAUCUCCAUUUAUUUGGGAAUCCUUUUUUCAACCGGAUGAAGUCUAUAAACUACCAAUUUAACUUGUCAAAAGGCCUUUUCAAUAACAAGUUUAAUUAUAAAGCCCUUUGUUUUUUUUACUUUCCAGAAAUCAACAACUUCGUUGGCAAUCAAGAUAGCAUCAGUUGUCUGUCUCCCCCUAACAAAGGCCAUUUGGUUUUCGGAAUCCGUAUCAUGGAGAGUGUUUUUUAGCCUUUCUGUAAGGAAAGAUCAAGCCUAGCGAAGCGAAGCGACCACUGGAGAUUAAUGUAAUAGCGAGACCAAUCUAAAGGAUGCGAAGAAGAAGAUUGACUUAAGAGGAGAUAAAGACUUUAAAAAAAGUUCAGACGAGACUGCUCUGUUAGGAUCGAAGAGGUCUGGAGGACCCGUCCAGAGGCGCGAAGCGAAGCGACUGUGAAAGAGCCCUUAGAUAGGAAAAAUAGGCCAAUAGGAGAGGAGCCUUUGUUUUUGCUAGGCUUUCUCUUUCCGACUACAAUAUCUCUGUCUUAUAGAACCUUGUAAAUCAAUGUCAAAGUCUAUCAAAGUAGAUGCUUUAUUUUACAGUCAUGAAAGAGUGAACAACAGAAACUAAAACAGAUGUGGAUCCUUCCUCCAAAGGCUGAGAGGUCAGGGCUCUUUCUUACCCCACGAACCUUGAUAAGCGACCCUUUGUUAAGGGUCGACCUGCUUUCCACUGCUCCACGUGUCUUUAGUAACCCUAUUUUCUUGAGUUGGGUUCAUAAUUUCCAUAACUAUAUAAUUUUACUUUUCUUGCAUAUAAUUUUUCAUAUAUAUUUAACUUUAUUUUCCUAUUUUAACAAAAAGCACAUAGGCAAAAGAAUCAAUAGUUGCAUUUGAAAAGAUAGAAUUAAUUAUAAUAUGUUUUCCAAGUGUACUUAUCAAAGUAAUCUCUUUCGUCUUUUCAAAUUUUCUUCUGCUUUUUCCUUCGUAUUCAUCCUCAAGGUUCCAUGCUUUUUCUCUUCGCUUAUCCUCCAAUCUCUCAUUUUUUUCUCUUUUUUUAUCAAUCUUUUCCCACUCUUUUUUCCUUUUUCCUUAAAUAUAUAUUAACAAAACUGGCCCUCAACGUUUUUAUCGUUCUUUUCUUUUUAAAUUCAUUAUCCUUCUUUUCUUUAAUUUAAGGUAUCUCAUCUUUUCUUCACCUUUUUUAUGGUUUCUUUUAUAAAAAGAAAAGAAUAAUAUUUAUGACCAUUUUUUUAUUUAUAUUUAUAAAAUUAAAUAAACAUGGAAGAUGGAGCUCAAUUGUUAGAGCACUCGCUUGGCCAGUUCGAUAGACACAGUUAGACAUAGUUAGACAUAGGGAUUGAUACCCAUUGGCAGCAUCUCCAUGGUCUUUUAAUCAAAUUCAAUAACACAUCUAUAUUUCUUUAUUUAUUAGAUUGUUGACUAGAAAAUAAGUUGGGGUUUUUUCCUCUUUUUAAAAAGUUGUCUUUCUUUUAGGAAAUCGAUUAAAAACUAUUUCGUAAAAAUAAUUGUAACAAAUGAGAUUUGGACUCACAACCAACACAACACUUGUGCAAGGGGGCACAACCACUUCAGCACAAGUAUAAUUUAGGCAAAGAAAAGCCGAAUUUACUAUGUACUACUAUAAUCUAACACUUAUAAGUAAGAGAGAUACAAAACUAUCUUCAAAUUGAUUCCAAACUAUCUUCAAAUCUAUCAACUGUGUACUGCUAAGCAAGAGAGAUACAAAAAGUAGAAGAUUCCAUUUUAUCAAAAUUAGACACAAUGGAAAUGAAUAUGUUGACUGUUAUAAACCACACACAACUAUAUAAAUACCAAACUCCUAACUCCUAAGUAUUCACGAACAAAACACAUAAACUUUACUACAUAAUAUAUCAUCUUCUAAAACUAUCUGUCCAUCAAAAGUAGAUUGUUGCAGUAUGAGUUUCGUAAUUAAGGGAUCACCCAUUCCAAACAUCGAUCAGCGAAAGGACGUGCAACAAAUUGGAGGGAUUGCAGUGGACAUACACAACGAAGAAAAAUCAGACACUUUGAUUUUCCAUCGUGUGAUAAACGGCCUGGAGCUUGUGAUUAAUGAUAUAAAUGGUAGCAUAUUGUCGUAUACUCUUGUGGUGGAAGCUAUAAAUAAGGAUAAAAAUAUCUGGACAUAUGUGACUUCCAUUAAAAUUACAAAACCAUCAAGCUAUGAACUCGUAUAUUUUAGAGAUCCCCUCGGGUACUACCCCGAAUAGUAUGAAAACAAUCCUUCUAUAUGUGUGUGUGUGUGAGAGGCAUUAUUGUCUUUUGCCUAUAUGAAAAUAAAUGGUAUAACCAUAUAAUAAGAACAAUGAUACUUACCUAUUAUCUCUCUUUCUAGUUUUUCUUUUUUAUCAAAUUUUGCAGUCAAGUAUACAUGGUGCAUUUCAGAAAUUAUAAUUUGUUAUAUAAUCGUAACUUGUUUGUCGGUCUUAGUGCUUCAUUAGGAAUUAAGGGAGAGCAACAUAUAGCGAGGCAUAUCUUUGACCUCAUUCAUUUCAAAAAUAUGAAACAAGGCCAAAGUGAAUAUAAUUAAUGCACAACUUCUAGGUAUUUUCCAUCGAUUUAAGGAUUCUCCUCCUUUUUCACGUUUCUCUCUCUCUCAAAAGCUUCCUUUUUUUUUCAUAUGAUAAAAAUCUUUUGAUACUAGUUGAGAUGUUUAGUACACCCUAAUCUCUCUUCACGUGAAACUAAAAGAUCCAAAGGAAAAAAAAAGACAUUUUCUCUAAAUUUUCAUCUCCCUCCACUAUCUUCCUUCUCUUUCCUUCAAAGAAAGAAAAUAACCAACAGCAACAAACCUCUAUCCCUUUUUUAUUUUUUCUUUUCCUUCCUUAAGCUUCUAGGUUUUUCUUUAAUUAUGUACAUGUGUAUUUUUUUUUCCUUCUAAUUUCUUCGUUUUUUUAAUAUCUACAAAUCAAACUGCCUCUCUACACAUCUCACGGCCUAUCUAGCAUAGUCUUACAAUAUAUUAGUGGGAUUUAUAACUUCUUUUAAAUUAAGGGUCGUUCUAGUUGAGAUGUAUUAUUGGUGCACCGUUUGACUCCUACUGCAAUAUUGUGAAUUUUAUAAAAAAAACAUAAAGAAAAAAGUUAUGGUAAAAGUUCUAAGAGCAAGUAAUGAUUUCUAUACCUUUUAUGACCUUAGCAGUAGUACUUUUAUGAGAAAAGACUGUAUUUUCAUUACCAUCACUAAGCCACAAUCUUUUGCAUCUUUGAGUCCAUAAUUGUGUCUCUUUAUGAAUUUUAUUGCUAAGAUCAGUUUUGAGGGCUAUUCUACGUGAGCUAUCCACAUCAUUCAAUUUAUUUGUAAAACGGAAAGGAGCAGGACCCCAAUUUAAGAUCAAAAGCUUCUAAAACCAUCGAAAAAUAAUCAGACGUAAUUCGGGACAUAACUUUGGAAUAAUGAAUUGAGAAAGAAUUUUCCCAUUUUUGAGCAAGGAGAAACCUAUCAAGCCAAGAUAAAGUUGGAGAAAGGCGGAGAUUUGACCAAGUAAAUUUUGCAUUAGUGAGGGGAGGGUCAAUAAGAUUACAAUUCUCAAUGAAGGAAUUGAACUUUUUCAUACUGUGCUUACCUGGAUUGCUUGCUGAUGUUUCUUUUGCCCACUUAAUGAUAUUAAAAUCACCUCCCAACAACCGGAUUGGUAAACUAAGAUUGUUUUAAUCAUUCAAGCACAUCCCAAAAGUCAUUUCUAUUUCUCCUUUUUGCUGGGCCAUAAACGGUCGUAAUACACCAAGAAGGGCCAUUGAUAGGUUUGAUAUUUGCAGAUAAACAGAAAGUGCCAACAAUGGAUUGUUCCAUAGAAAAAUUUUGAACAUCCCACGUUAAUAAAAUACCCCAGAGUUGUCAUUUGCUUUUAAGGAGUACCACUUUAUGCUGAUAAAGCUCCACAACGACUUAAUAAUAGCUUUGUUGGAGGCGUUGACGAGCCCACUCUAAAUUUACUCUAAAUCUCACAAACUUUUAAGAGAAGAAACUUGUUCUCUUAGAAAACUCAAUAACACACAAGAGAAUAAUGUUGUUCUCUUGAAACUCACUUACUUUUUAAAACUCAAUUUGCUUCUAUUGAUUUGAUUCUUUUAUCUUUCAUACAAAUGAAGAAAAUGUUCUCUAUAUAUAGUACUCAAGAGACACUUCCUAAAAGACACAAAAUAAAUAAAGUACAUGUAUACAUAUCAUUCAUGUACUUGAAUAAUUACAUGUAUCUAGAAAUGCAUAUGUAUCUUGAAAUUAGAAAUGUAUCUAUUAAUGGUUUAUCCAUAAUGUAUCUAGCUUAUUAAUUUCUAACAUGCCCCCUUAAGCUAGACUUCCCAAACUUCGAGCUUCUCUUUCAUUUUCAAGAAUAAAUCUGUCUUUAAUGCUUUUGUGAAUACGUCUGCAACUUGAUCUUGAGUCUUGCAAUACUUGAUAUAUACUUCUCCAUCUUUGAUCAAUUCUCUGAUGAAAUGAUAUUUGAUGUUUAUGUGUUUGCUUCUUCCAUGAAAAACGGGAUUCUUCGAAAGUGAAAUAGAUGAUUGAUUGUCACAGAACAUGAUGGUCCCUUUCUCUUGAGGACACUUCAAUUCAUGUAGUACAUUUCUUAGCCAAAGUGCUUGACAACUAGCAACAGACAAAGAAAUGUAUUCAGCUUCUAUUGUGGACAAUGCUACAACAUCUUGCUUCUUUGAUGCCCAUGAAACUGCUCCAGAACCAAUAUUAAAUACAUACCCAGAAGUACUUUUGAAAUCAUCAAUAUUUCCUCCCCAAUCACUAUCACUGUAGCCAACAAGAAAAUUAUCCACAUUCCUUUUAUAGUGGAUUCCAUGAUCAACUGUUCCAAGAAUGUAUCUAAGAACUCUCUUUCCAGCUUCCCAAUGACUUCUCUUUGGUGAUGUCAUAAAUCUACUCAAUAAAUUGACCGAGAACAUAAUAUCAGGUCUAGUUGUAGUUAAAUACAUUAAACUUCCAACCAGACUUCUAUAAAUGGUGGCAUCAAAAGCUUCACUAACAUCAUGUUUACUUAACUUUAAACCCAAUUCCAUAGGAGUACUGACAGGAUAAGCAUUCUCCAUUUUGAACUUUUUCAGCAAAUCUUUUGCAUACUUCUUUUGGAAAAUUGCAAUCUCAUUACACCUUGUUUAACUUCAAUACAAAGAAAAUAAUGAAGUAAACCCAUAUCAGUCAUCUCAAAUUCCUUUUUCAUGCUCUCUUUGAAUUCUUCAAUCAUCAUAUUUGAGUUGCCCGUAAAUAUUAAAUCAUCAACAUAUAGACAAAUUAUCAAGAAAUUACCAUUUUCAUCUCCUUUGGUGUAGAGAGCAUGUUCAUAUGGACAUCUUCUGAAACCAUCAUUUAAGAAAAAAUUGUCGAUGCGACUGUACCAAGCCCUUGGUGCUUGCUUUAGCACAUACAAGGCUUUCUUUAAUCGACACACCUUAUUUUCUUCUCCAAUCUUUGCAUAACCGGGGGGCUGCUCAACAUAUAUUUCAUCCUCUAAAUACCCAUUUAGGAAUGCUGACUUUACAUCCAUUUGAUGAACUUUCCAUUCAUUUUUUGCUGCAAGGGCUAACAACAAACGAACAGUCUCCAAGCGAGUUACCGGUGCAAAAACUUCUUCAUAAUCCACACCAAACUUUUGUUUGUAACCUUUUACAACGAAUCUGGCUUUGUAUUUUUGCACUUUUCCGUUUUGCUUUAGAUUUGUUUUAUAGAUCCAUUUGACUCCAAGAGCCCUUUUAUUUUCUGGUAAUUUUACUAACUCCCAUGUCUCGUUUCUUCUUAUUGCAUCAAUCUCUUGAUUCAUUGCAUCUUCCCAAUUUUCAUCUUGAAUUGCUUCUUCAAAGUUUACAGGAUCAACAUUUGCAAAUAAAGCAAAAUCAACAUGUUCUUCAUCUAGUAUCCUUCUUGAAGUAUUAUAGAUCUCUUGAAUAUAUUUCUGGUCUUCCUUGAAGUAGUUUCUUUAUCACUUGUGGAGUGUGAUGAAGUAGGUAAAGUCAGUGGUUGAGUUACUUCAAGCUCCAAGUCUCGAGCAUCUUCUUUGCCAUCCAUAUCAACAUGUAAUGGAUUUUGGUCUUCAUUUGGUGUAUUCCAUUGCCACAAUUUUGCUUCAUCGAACUUGACAUCUCGACUAAUAAUAACUUUCUUACUUACCGAGUUGUAUAGUCUGUAGGCCUUGGAGUUCUCAUUGUGCCGAACAAAAAUGCAUUUUUCUGAUUUAUCAUCUAGCUUACCUCUUUUCUCAUCUGAAAUGUGAGAGUAAGCAAUGCACCCAAACACUCUUAGGUGACUAACAGUUGGUUUCAAUCUGCUCCAUGCUUCUUGAGAAGUAAUACCUUGCACACUUUUCGUUGAAGCUCUAUUUAGGAGAUAAACAGCACAAGUUACUGCGUCUCCCCAAAAUUGAUCAGGAAGUUUCUUUGCCUUCAACAUACUUCUUGCAAGUUCCACUAUUAUUCUAUUUUUCCUCUUUGCAAUUCCGUUUUGUUGAGGAGUUCUUUGAACAGUCUUCUGAUGCUUGAUUCCAUUUUCCUUCAAGAAAUCUGCAAAAACAAUAUAUUCUCCUCCACGAUCCAAACGCAAUGAUUUCAAUUUCAAGUUUCUUUCAUUUUCCACCAUUGCUUUGAAUGUCUUGAAACAUUAGAAAGUAGCACUCUUUUCUUUGAGUAGAUAAAUCCAUGUUUUUCGACUGUAGUUAUCAAUAAAUGUGAGAAAAUAACGGUUACCUCCAUGUGUAGUAGUUCUCAUAGGUCCACAUAAAUUUGUAUGAACAAGCUCAAGUGGUUUUGAUGCUCUCCAAGAACCUCCAGUCGGAAAUGAAUUUCGAUGAUGCUUUCCGAAAACACAUGCUUCACAGAGUUGAUCUUCCUUUUUAAUAUUUGACAUUCCUCUCACCAUAUGUUGUUGACACAUGUGAGACAAAGUGUCAAAACUUAGGUGCCCAAAUCGACAAUGUCAUAACCAUGAGGUGUCAUUUACUAAAGUCUCAAAACAAACAAGCUUCUCAUACAUAUUUUAAUUGGAAACAUUUUGUUGUGAGUCAUACGAACCUUCGUUAUGAGAUCUCCAUUCCUUGUUCUAAUCUCACAUAUGUUAUCUUUAAAGAUAACCUCAUGUCCUCUUAGGAGAAGUUGGCCAACACUUAAAAGAUUGUGUUUGAGACCUGAAACAUAAUACACAUCAGUAAUUCUUUUUGCUCCCCUUUUUGUCUUGACAAGAAUAUCUCCUUUUCCUUUGACUUCAAGCUUCUUGUUGUCACCAGUCUUCACUACAUUUUGAUGAGAUUCAUCUAAAGAUAUAAAAAUAUCCUUUCUUCCUGUCAUGUGGUUACUACAACCACUAUCAAGAUACCAUAUUUCUUCAGUGCUUGAUUCUUGAACGUUGAGAGUGAGGAAGAGAAGACCUUGAUCAUUAUUUGAUUGUUCAUGCAUUAGCGUGGUUUCUGCUUGAUUAGAAUUAGCCUUCUUAGACCAACAGUCUGCUUGAAAAUGUCCAUAACGUCUACAAUUGAAACAUUCUAUGUGAGAAAAAUCUCCAUGACCACCACUUCUACCUCUUUCUCUAUUUGAACUUCUUCCCCGUCCUCUAUUUGAAAAAGAUUGAUUGUCUCUGCUUUCUGACUCUGUAUUUGUUACAACGUUGGAUCGUCCAUUGCCUCUACCACCACGUCCACCUCUUCUUCCAUUGGAUCGACCUCUAUAGAAAGACUGCAUAUGAAAAGCUUCUUCUGAAGGAGUAGAAUCAAACAUCUUCAAUCUGAGCUCAUGAGAUUGAAGAGAUCACAUUAAGCUAUUUAUAGAGAGAGUUGACAAAUCUUUGGAUUCUUCAAUUGCUACAACAAUAUGCUCAUAUUUUCUAGUCAUGCUUCUAAGAAUCUUCUCAACAAUCCUUUGAUCUUCAAUUGUUUCUCCAUUUGAUCUCAAUUGAUUAACAAUUAAGAGCACACGGUUAAAAAAUUCUUUAAUAGUUUCAUAAUCUUUCAUUCGAAUUGUAUCAAAUUCAGCUUUAAGUGUUUGUAAUCGGACCAAUUUUACCUUUUCUUCUCCUUCAUACAAAUUUUGCAAUGCAUCCCAUGCUGCUUUAGCAGUAGAGACUCCUGAUAUUCUUUCAAAAAUAUUUUCAUCCACAGCUUGGUACAUGAAAAAUAAUGCAUUCUUAUCCUUUUUUCUAGCAUCUCUUAACUCAUUGAGUUGUUGUGCUGAAAGACCAUUCUCACUUUCUGGCUCUGAAAUAUCCAAUGUCAACAAUAUCCCAAAGAUCUUGAUAUCCAUAAAGAACCUUUAUUUGCUGGCUCCACCGCCUAUAGUUUUUUCCCUCAAAGCGAGGAAGUUGAGGUUGCAACAUGUUAGAUGACAUCUUUCAAUCCUUGCUCUGAUACCACUUUGUUAGAGGCGUUGACGAGCCCACUCUAAAUUUACUCUAAAUCUCACAAACUUUUAAGAGAAGAAACUUGUUCUCUUAGAAAACUCAAUAACACACAAGAGAAAAAUGUUGUUCUCUUGAAACUCACUUACUUUCUAAAACUCAAUUUGCUUCUAUUGAUUUGAUUCUUUUAUCUUUCAUACAAAUGAAGAAAAUGAUCUCUAUAUAUAGUACUCAAGAGACACUUCCUAAAAGACACAAAAUAAAUGAAGUACAUGUAUACAUACCAUUCAUGUACUUGAAUAAUUACAUGUAUCUAGAAAUGCAUAUGUAUCUUGAAAUUAGAAAUGUAUCUAUUAAUGUGUUAUCUAUAAUGUAUCUAGCUUAUUAAUUUCUAACAAGCUUUUGAUACAUAACGAAAUUUGGUUUCAGUAAGAAUUACUAAGUCAGAAGAGUGGCUAGAAACAUAACUAUUUUCAUAACAGAAUAAUCAAUUGAAAUGCCUUAUUAAAAGGCUUACAAAAAACUAGUAUUUACUAAAAAUAAAACCAUGUUGACAUUCAGAUUCUCGCCGUCUUGUUCCAAUUUUUCUUGUUUUUUUUUGGGGAGGGGGGUGGGAAACAACAAUAUUUUCGAUAAACGAAUGUUGUUCCGCUUUCAAGUUAAAUUCAUCAAAGGAAAUGGCAGCUUGUCUUGAGAACGUACCAUCUAUGUGUGGGUUCCUUUCAAUUAGCCAACGUCCCUUCACAGGUAUCACAGUUUGGACCAGAAAUGUGUUGCCCUCCUUAUCAAUGAUGUUUAUUGUGGCUGGUAUGAACCCAGUAUAAUUGAGUCUGACUUUAAUGUUUGCCUCUACGAUGUCGAAUGCAUUUAGGUUGUUCUUUUGGGGCUUUUUGCUCUUUUUGAAUGCAUUCCUUUGUUUCUUAUAAAAAUGACGAUGAAAAUCAUAGACAUGGUUUCAUUGGCCUAAGCCUUGCCAAAUUGGAUGGAGCCAUGCUGUAGGAGAUCUCACUCCCAUUUGGUUACUCUUCAUAAAGAUUUAUUUGUUUUUCUUACAAUAAAUGUGAUGUCACUCCUCGUGAAGAAACCAUGUUUAUCUCCCUUAUGGUGAUUAGUUUGAAGUUAGCAUUUAGUGGUAUUCAUUUGACAUUAUUGGAUUUAUGGGGUUGAGAUUGUUUCAAAGCUAUCAAUGUCACAUAGAGACUUUUUGUUGAGACUUUUUGAGGACCUUUUAGGUGAUUUGAAAGUCAGAUUUAGGCCAUGCAUCUUCUUUAAUUUGAACCUCCACAUUAAAAUAGGACUUAAUGAUUUUAAUGUACAUUUUUCAGAUUUAUGUAGUUUGAAGGAGCGGGGAAUGAAGACUUUCUUAGUGAGUUAACUAUUUUUUGUGUUGUAAUUUUUUUUUUUUUUUUGUUCAUUUUGGUAUGCCAAAGUGAAAUGUAAUAUAGCUCACGAACCUUGACACACUAAAGAAUGAUUGUUUGCCAUAUUUUGACCAAGUAUUGAAUUGUGGAUUGUGAUAUUAAUGGUUGAAAAUAUUUUUCAUUUUUAAAUUUUUGGUUGCAGUGUUUAAUGUAUUAUGGUGUAGAAAUUCAUUCUACAUGUAAAAUUUAAUUUAUAAGCAUACAAUAUUAUAUUAAUAAUAAAUGUGGAAAAAUUUAAAUUGUUUUUGUCAUGUUCUUUGUGUGGUUAGAAAUAUGUUGGCAAUUAGAAAGUUCUGCGACGUUUAUGCUUGGACAAAAAAAAAACAAAUAUUAUUUAAAAACAAAUUUAGCCUGGGGAGAAAUUUUGUUUUGUCCACAAAGAUCUUUUCGUUGGCAGAACUAGCUUCCGCCCACGAAACAAACGUGGCCAGAAAGUUUAUUUUUGUCGACGUGAUGAUGAUCAUGGGUAAAAAAUACCUUUCGUUUUUUUGUGGUCAGAAGGUUUACUUUUGGCGACGUGAUGUAAUCGUGGGCAAAAAUACAUUUUUGUCGACAUUUUUUUCGUGGCUAGAAAUAUUUUUUCUGCCCACGAUUUUAAUUUGCAUGAACAUUUGUGCCGACGCAACGUAAAAAACGUAGGCAAAGAAAAAGACGACGGUGUUUCGACCACCCAACGUGCCCACGAAAAAAAGUGUUGGCAAAAGGUCUGGCCACGUUUUUCAUAAGAAGUGUCCAUGGUUUUCUGCAUGGGCAAAGACGAAAAUUCUUGUAGUGUUUUUUGUUGUAUGUUUUCUGUAGCCAUAAAAAAUAUUCGGGAAACCUUUUCUCCAAGAAGAAUCCGGUUGUAUGUGGGUAUCCAAUUACCAUCUUAGUUUCCCUCUAAAUCCAAGUUUACUAAGUUAUCUUGAUGGGUAAAAUAAAUUAAAUGGGACCUUUGAGGAGGUUGUAAAGGAAGUGUCUUAUAGGAAUUCUUUUUCAUAAUGACUUGUUAAGAUAGCUAGUGCUUUUGAUGUUUAAAUAUUACCAAAGGUUCUAAAUUAUGUUAAUUUUGGGGAAGGAAAAACAAUAAAUUGAAGAAUUGAACCCUCGUUGAAGCCAUUUUUAUGGGUUCUCCAUAUACAUUAAUGAGCUAUGUUUGGGUAGAUUUUUCUUAUGGUUGUUGAAUUAAGUUUUGACACUGAAAGUUUUUUUUUUAGGCUUUCUGAAAGUUGAUGUCUGUUCAAGGAAGGGAAUUUUUGGAUUGAGAAAUUAUAGGAUUCAAACUAAGUGUUAAAUAUGAUUUGAUUUAGGCUAUCUCCAUAUUCUAGCUUUUCUGUUUUAGGGAUUGUAUAGUAUGUUUUUUACCCAAAUUUGGAAUUAACGGUAUCUAUCCUUAUCGAGGCUUAUUUGUGUGAAGACACAUUUUUUGUUGUUCAAAAUUCUCUAGAAUGAAAAGAUUCAUUGUGUGUUACACUCACAUGACCUCACACUUUAAUAAUUUGAUAGUUGUUAACCGACCGUUAUGUUGUUCUACCUAGUUUCUUCUUAUGGUAAUCGAUAUUUCUGAUAUUUUUGGUCGACUGUGGAUCAACAUUUAUGGCUGAAGUAAAUGAUUGGCGUGACUCGACGGAUAACCAUAUAUGUUGGGCUACUUCAACUACCAUCUUUCCUACUUUAUAUUUUUUGGAUUUUUGGACCGAGCAUUAGAAGAAAUCUGACCUUUAACGUCGGUUGAAAAAAAAUGAAAACGGAUCUUUAAUGUCAGUUUUUUAAAUGGGGAUGUUUAGUGUCGGUUUUCAACCGUCAUAAAAAAGUUAUGGUAAUUUUUUUUUUUUAAAUUUUGUAGAGUCAAGUAUCCCUCGUUUAGUCUCACAUUUCUUCCUCGCCUCACGAUUUCUUCUCUCUCAAUUUUCUCUCAGUUUCUCCUCACUCUUCUCAAUCUCACUUUACUCCACCGUCAAGUCCGCCACAGUGGUGCCGUCCCAAAUCUUCAAAAGAUAUGUCGUCCAUCGUCGCACUGUUCCAGAUCUUCGAAGAUCUGUCGAACGUCGUCCCAAAUAGAAACCCUAAGUAUUCUCCAUGAAAUUGAAUCCCUUGUUUGAAACUCACGUUCAUCGUGCGACAUCAUCUUCUCUUUUUUGUGAGCCUUGGUAUAUAGCUACAGAUUUUGUUUUUCUUCUUUCACAAUAGUUUCUAAAUUAUCAAAGUUUCAUUUAAGUGUUAAGAUAUCAAUUCGUAGGAACAAGAGCUUAACUUCAAUUUCAAACCAGAAUGGAGAUCCUCCACAUUCCAUGGUCAUCGUGGCUAAUAAUAAGAAGAUAAUGGACACGAAUCCUAGAACAAAUGGGGCAGUAUAUCAUCAAGAUUCAAAACCCUCGAGCAGUAAGUAAGAUUGCACUUUAUUUUCCUAUUUUAACAAAAAGCACAUAGGCAAAAGAAUCAAUAGUUGCAUUUGAAAAGAUAGAAUUAAUUAUAAUAUGUUUUCCAAGUGUACUUAUCAAAGUAAUCUCUUUCGUCUUUUCAAAUUUUCCUCUCCUUUUUCCUUCGUAUUCAUCCUCAAGGUUCCAUGCUUUUUCUCUUCGCUUAUCCUCCAAUCUCUCAUUUUUUUCUCUUUUUUUAUCAAUCUUUUCCCACUCUUUUUUCCUUUUUCCUUAAAUAUAUAUUAACAAAACUGGCCCUCAACGUUUUUAUCGUUCUUUUCUUUUUAAAUUCAUUAUCCUUCUUUUCUUUAAUUUAAGGUAUCUCAUCUUUUCUUCACCUUUUUUAUGGUUUCUUUUAUAAAAAGAAAAGAAUAAUAUUUAUGACCAUUUUUUUAUUUAUAUUUAUAAAAUUAAAUAAACAUGGAAGAUGGAGCUCAAUUGUUAGAGCACUCGCUUGGCCAGUUCGAUAGACACAGUUAGACAUAGUUAGACAUAGGGAUUGAUACCCAUUGGCAGCAUCUCCAUGGUCUUUUAAUCAAAUUCAAUAACACAUCUAUAUUUCUUUAUUUAUUAGAUUGUUGACUAGAAAAUAAGUUGGGGUUUUUUCCUCUUUUUAAAAAGUUAUCUUUCUUUUAAGAAUUCGAUUAAAAACUAUUUCGUAAAAAUAAUUGUAACAAAUGAGAUUUAGACUCACAACCAACACAAGACUUGUGCAAGGGGCACAACCACUUCAGCACAAGUAUAAUUUAGGCAAAGAAAAGCCGAAUUUAAUAUGUACUGUAAUCUAACACUUCAAAAAAUUGAUUCCAAACUAUCUCCAAAUCUAUCAACUUUGUACGGCUAAGCAAGAGAGAUACAAAAAGUAGAAGAUUCCAUUUUAUCAAAAUUAGACACCAUGGAAAUGAAUAUGUUGACUGUUAUAAACCACACACAACUAUAUAAAUACCAAACUCCUAACUCCUAAGUAUUCACGAACAAAACACAUAAACUUUACUACAUAAUAUAUCAUCUUCUAAAACUAUCUGUCCAUCAAAAGUAGAUUGUUGCAGUAUGAGUUUCGUAAUUAAGGGAUCACCCAUUCCAAACAUCGAUCAGCGAAAGGACGUGCAACAAAUUGGAGGAUUGCAGUGGACAUACACAACGAAGAAAAAUCAGACACUUUGAUUUUCCAUCGUGUGAUAAACGGCCUGGAGCUUGUGAUUAAUGAUAUAAAUGGUAGCAUAUUGUCGUAUACUCUUGUGGUGGAAGCUAUAAAUAAGGAUAAAAAUAUCUGGACAUAUGUGACUUCCAUUAAAAUUACAAAACCAUCAAGCUAUGAACUCGUAUAUUUUAGAGAUCCCCUCGGGUACUACCCCGAAUAGUAUGAAAACAAUCCUUCUAUAUGUGUGUGUGUGUGAGAGGCAUUAUUGUCUUUUGCCUAUAUGAAAAUAAAUGGUAUAACCAUAUAAUAAGAACAAUGAUACUUACCUAUUAUCUCUCUUUCUAGUUUUUCUUUUUUAUCAAAUUUUGCAGUCAAGUAUACAUGGUGCAUUUCAGAAAUUAUAAUUUGUUAUAUAAUCGUAACUUGUUUGUCGGUCUUAGUGCUUCAUUAGGAAUUAAGGGAGAGCAACAUAUAGCGAGGCAUAUCUUUGACCUCAUUCAUUUCAAAAAUAUGAAACAAGGCCAAAGUGAAUAGAAUUAAUGCACAACUUCUAGGUAUUUUCCAUCGAUUUAAGGAUUCUCCUCCUUUUUCACGUUUCUCUCUCUCUCAAAAGCUUCCUUUUUUUUUCAUAUGAUAAAAAUCUUUUGAUACUAGUUGAGAUGUUUAGUACACCCUAAUCUCUCUUCACGUGAAACUAAAAGAUCCAAAGGAAAAAAAAAAAGACAUUUUCUCUAAAUUUUCAUCUCCCUCCACUAUCUUCCUUCUCUUUCCUUCAAAGAAAGAAAAUAACCAACAGCAACAAACCUCUAUCCCUUUUUUAUUUUUUCUUUUCCUUCCUUAAGCUUCUAGGUUUUUCUUUAAUUAUGUACGUGUGUAUUUUUUUUUCCUUCUAAUUUCUUCGUUUUUAUCAUAUGUACAUGGUUUCAUUGGCCUAAGCCUUGCCUUGAAUACAGAAGCCAAAAAACAUAAACUUCUGUAUUUUCAUAACACAAUGAUCAAUUGAAAUGCCUUAUUAAAAGCCUUACAAAAAACUGGUAUUUACUAAAAAUAAAACCACUUUGACAUACCACCUAUCCACUAACUUAACCUGUUAACAGAAAAUAAAUUAAAAAACAUUAAUUUAGAUAAUCACAUAAUUUGAAUCAGUAUUCAAUACAAGUUACAAAAUUUGUGUGUUGGCCCUCCUAACACCCCCAUUUUGUCUUUUUUCUUUUUCAAUUGUCUUUUUAAUCCCCUCGUCAUUUUCGCUUUAUUAAAAAAAUAAGAAAUGAAGUACAUCAAGAGUGUCCUCCUUAAAAAAUACAAUUUGGAUCAGCAGGUGCUCUAGAAAUUUCAACAAUGAAUCAAAAGUAUCUUUUUAAACUAUUCUAUUAAAGUAUUUUUUUUUUAUUAGAAAUGAUAUAUGUAUCAACAGCAAAUCGUCAUUUGAACUCUAAAUCUAGGUCUCACACACAAGAUUCCAUUAUAUCAAUUCGACUAAUAUCUCUCACACGGAAUUAUAAAUAAGAAACUCCUUAAUAAUAACAAGCAAAAUAAGUCAGCGACUUAAAUAAAAGUAGUGUGUAUAUAUAUAUAAUUACAAUAUUAAUUCAUCAAAUGAAGGAAAAGGAAUAGCGAUUAAAGAUGUGGAUGAUGAAUUUGUGGAAGAAGUUGCAAAGGUUUGCAGUUGAAGUACGAAGGUGUGGUGAGAGUGGUAAGUUGCAAAGGUUGUGGUUGCUCUCCUUUUGGAUAAUUUGGUUGGAAAGAAAUAACCAAAAUUUCAACGUUAAACAUGUCAGCAAUGCAGGAUUAUGGGAAAACAUAUGUAACCAGUCAGUCCUCCCCGCUCCGUGGGCUCUUAGGCGGCUAGCUCAAGGGGAACUGUUGGCAAAGAAUCCAUGCUGGGAACAAUCUCUCUCUGCUUUCAUCUUCUCGCUUCCCUAGUUAGGAUAGUCGGACCUAUAUAUUCCCACAGGGUGGUCGGACGAUUCAAGAAUUUCACUAAGAAGUCAAAAACUCAAAACUUCUGUUACUUUAGCUAUGAUGCGUAUUAGCAAAUUUAAAUCAAGAGAGAGUAUUGAAGACUGAUUCAAAUAACGUAAUUAUCUUAACUUAAUGUUUUUAAUUAUUUAUGUUAAUAGGUUAAGUUUGUGGGUAGGUGGUUUAUCAAGGUGGUUAUUAUUUUUAGUAAGUAUUUUUUUAAGCCUUUAAUAAGGUAUUUUAAUUGAUUAUUCUGUUAUGAAAAAAAUUGUGAAGUUUUUUCGUCUGCUGAAUUUUUGCUUGUGUAUUCAUAAGUUGUCUCAAAGUUUUCCAACAGAUUUGAGCUUAUUGAUUACUUUCUCAAAUAUGGAGGAAAUAUUAAACUUUCGGUGUUAAAUGAGGAGAGAAAGAGGAUGGUGGUGGAAGGAAUUCUGAAAUGGGUUUGUGGGCAGUGAAAAGACGGAAAGCCGCCGGAGAUGAGGAGGUAGUUGCCAACUUGCCAAGGGGUUUAGAGGAGAGAAGUGUUGCAGCCGCGUCGGAGGAGAUGGAGUGGAGGGAGAAGCCGGGAACGGGGAGUUGUUUAGACACCGGUGAUAUCAAUCUUGGUAUCUUUAGUUGGUUACAGUCAACCGCCAAUGUAUCUUAAUUUUGAUCUGUUGAAGAAAACAUUCAAAUGGAUUUAUUCUGGAAAAAAAAAAAUCCCCGAGUUCUACAAAGAGAUUCAUUCUUAGAUUGAAAGAAAAAAGAUGGGGACCAAUGUUAUAUUUAUAUACCAAAAUUUACAUUUUAUUGAUAGUUCCCGUAAAACAAAGACUUUGAUAUUGAGGCGUAACAAAGGUGUUAAAUAGGAGUAAAUCUGGUUGAGAUGGACGGAUCCUAUGAAUUAUUUUUAAAAAAUUUGAAGAAACUGUUAAUAUUUUUUAAUUCACAAAGAAUUAGGGUAUAGUGAAUGUUUGGAGUUAAAUGUCACAAAUCACUUGAAUUUAGAGCACAUUACAAGAAAAUCAAACGUGCAUAUAUAUGUAUUAUGUAUAUGCUUGUGUGUUAUAUAUAUGUACGUAUGUCGUCAACUAGAUAAAAUAAAACAAAGUUAGUUAACACACAACCAAGCAUACAUGUGAGUUUAAUAAUUUUACGUACUUUUAUUACCUCACAAACUAUUGGUAAUAGUUUUUAAGUUCAUGUAAAACAUAUAUUAGAGCGGAUAUCAAUGACACAGAGAGUGUCAAUAUAUAGUUAUUGCAUGCACCACUAGGGAAGGGGAACAAAGUUUAUAAGCUUUUUGGAUGCAGUAGUUUCCAAUACGAUGAUGCUAUAAAACCUUUGCAUUCCGAGAGGGGAGUUUUGGGCGAGAAUAACAAGGAUAUAAUAUUUCUCGUUAUCCAUAAGCAUUCUGUUACCGACCAGGCCAGCUUCCACUUGAUUGAAGAUCAUGGUUUGUUCAUGCUCUUUCACACCAAAUUCUGCUAUCUUUUUCACGUGUGUAUCAGUCCUUGAAAUUGGCUUCCAGUUUCCGAAGACAUCCGAACUCGACUCACCCUCAAGUACUAUAGAGUCAUCAAAAUUAGCCAUAACUUUGGAUUCUCCUCAGUAAACUACUUGAAGUACAAAUCGAAGAUCAACAAAUGAUCUUCUGAGUAAAGAUUUGAUGAAGAAAUUUUGUAUUUGUCGGUGGUAUGUGUUCUCAAUUGUAAGGAGGGUUUAAGUAUCAUAUACAAAUGUGUAGGUGUUUUCCUACUGUGAAAUUUGAUAAGGUCGAAUAUCCA